AUAUUUGUUAAGUAGACUUUGAUGUGAUUUCUGAAAGCUUGUAAAUUUGUGUAUUUAUAUACACACACACCCCUCUACCUUUUUGGCUGAAAGAGACUGUGGCAUUCACCUGCUUCCCCAUAGAUACAUAGAUAUAUAUAUAAUUUUGCAAUUUAACAUAAUGUUAAAAAUGAAUGAGUGAAUUAAGAAAUUUGCAUUUGUAAGAAGACUUUGAUGUGAUUUCUGAAAGCCUUGGGGUUGCCAUCAGUCUUAAAUUACUUGAAGGCAGGCAGCAACAAGAAGCCAUUAGAUGCCCCCAAUGUGCCAUCAUGGCUACUUCAGCCCCACUCAUUCUUGAUUUUAACAUUUUUGGAGGUUGUUGUUUGUGAAGGAGUUAAAUUUAAGGAACGGCUUUGGUUGACCUUUUUGGUCUGUGUUCAGGAAUGAAAUUGUUGCAUAUGGAACAUAAAAGUACUGUAUGUUAAGAAUAGACGCAUAAACCAGGCUUGCAAACAGCUACACUCCACAUUAAACAAACAUCUCCUCCUCAUAUUCAACAGCAGAUCAGAACCUGCAGGGUAUCUGAGCAUGUAUGGAGUGCCUCAUCCUGCAGUGUCUGGAAUGGCAGACCCAGGGGCUUCUGGGUCACGCAGGCAGAAUGAAGUCCCUGCACUCCUAGUUAGUGUUUUCUUCUUUUAUUUUAUUGCACGUAACUAGUUGGUUGUUAUUUCCUUCUCUUGGUACAGAUCCCUGAGGAUAUCCCUGAGGUUGCAACCUGAUACGCAGUUCAUUAGAAGCAAGUCUCCUGAGAAUACAGCAAAACAUUUCUCACAUAUGAUGAGAAAUUGCAAGGUGACUGUAGAGCUCCUGUCUGAAACGUCUGGAGGUGGUUUGCGGAUGAGUGAAGGCAAACAAGCAGAAGCUUAAUCCAAACAAGACAGAAUGGCUAAAUUCUUACUACAAUACAUGAUGACUGCCGCUAUACCUUUGUAUGCACAGAAUUGGAAAGAGAAUGUGGUUCCAGUGCAAUAGAACUGGCUGAUGAAACUAAAUGACUUGGCAGAAAUGGACAGGUUGACAACAUUGAUUAAAGAAGGGAUACUGUCAAAUUUCAAGAAGGAAUGGAAUGUAUUGAUAGUUGAAAAACUCACGGGGGGAAAUAUUAGUAUUGGGUUUCGAGGAUUAAUAGCAUUUCAUGUAUAGUAGAAGAACAAGCAGCAACUGGGAUGUAGUUAGUCAAUGUUUGUAUAUGUUUAAUCCAUAUUUAUGUUUAUUGCUCCUUCAGAUAUUGUCAUAUCUGAUUUUAUUCUCUUUAAUUAU